rnacentral:rRNA from 1 species
AUUGAACGCUGGCGGCAUGCCUUACACAUGCAAGUCGAACGGUAACGGGUCCUUCGGGAUGCCGACGAGUGGCGAACGGGUGAGUAAUAUAUCGGAACGUGCCCAGUAGUGGGGGAUAACUGCUCGAAAGAGCAGCUAAUACCGCAUACGACCUGAGGGUGAAAGGGGGGGAUCGCAAGACCUCUCGCUAUUGGAGCGGCCGAUAUCAGAUUAGCUAGUUGGUGGGGUAAAGGCCUACCAAGGCAACGAUCUGUAGUUGGUCUGAGAGGACGACCAGCCACACUGGGACUGAGACACGGCCCAGACUCCUACGGGAGGCAGCAGUGGGGAAUUUUGGACAAUGGGCGCAAGCCUGAUCCAGCAAUGCCGCGUGCAGGAAGAAGGCCUUCGGGUUGUAAACUGCUUUUGUCAGGGAAGAAAUCUUCUGGGCUAAUACCCCGGGAGGAUGACGGUACCUGAAGAAUAAGCACCGGCUAACUACGUGCCAGCAGCCGCGGUAAUACGUAGGGUGCGAGCGUUAAUCGGAAUUACUGGGCGUAAAGCGUGCGCAGGCGGCUUUGCAAGACAGAUGUGAAAUCCCCGGGCUCAACCUGGGAGCUGCAUUUGUGACUGCAAGGCUAGAGUACGGCAGAGGGGGAUGGAAUUCCGCGUGUAGCAGUGAAAUGCGUAGAUAUGCGGAGGAACACCAAUGGCGAAGGCAAUCCCCUGGGCCUGUACUGACGCUCAUGCACGAAAGCGUGGGGAGCAAACAGGAUUAGAUACCCUGGUAGUCCACGCCCUAAACGAUGUCAACUGGUUGUUGGACGGCUUGCUGUUCAGUAACGAAGCUAACGCGUGAAGUUGACCGCCUGGGGAGUACGGCCGCAAGGUUGAAACUCAAGGGAAUUGACGGGGACCCGCACAAGCGGUGGAUGAUGUGGUUUAAUUCGAUGCAACGCGAAAAACCUUACCCACCCUUGACAUGUCAAGAAUUCUGCAGAGAUGUGGAAGUGCUCGAAAGAGAACUUGAACACAGGUGCUGCAUGGCCGUCGUCAGCUCGUGUCGUGAGAUGUUGGGUUAAGUCCCGCAACGAGCGCAACCUUUGUCAUUAGUUGCUACGCAAGAGCACUCUAAUGAGACUGCCGGUGACAAACCGGAGGAAGGUGGGGAUGACGUCAGGUCCUCAUGGCCCUUAUGGGUAGGGCUACACACGUCAUACAAUGGCCGGUACAGAGGGCUGCCAACCCGCGAGGGGGAGCCAAUCCCAGAAAACCGGUCGUAGUCCGGAUCGUAGUCUGCAACUCGACUGCGUGAAGUCGGAAUCGCUAGUAAUCGCGGAUCAGCUUGCCGCGGUGAAUACGUUCCCGGGUCU